rnacentral:rRNA from 1 species
AGGAUGGUACAAGCAGAGACAGAUACUAUUCCUGGCACCGCAGUACAUAAGAUUGGGAUAAUGGGAAUAGGACCCUGUCUCUCUACCCCCAGUUGGUUUUGUUAGAGCGAGGUCAUAUCAGGGUAAUGAUUAAUAGGGAUAGUUGGGGGCUUUAAUAUUCAAUUGUCAGAGGUGAAAUUCUUGGUGUUAUGAAAGAUUAACUUCUGCGAAAGCGUUUGCCAAGGAUGUUUUCAUUAGUCCAGAACGAAAGUUAGGGCAUCGAAGACGAUCAGAUACCGUCGUAGUCUUAACCAUAAACGAUGUCGACCAGCGAUUAGGAGACGUUGCAUACAAAACAUAGUUGUUAAUUUGUUUGGGGGUUAAUACUUGUUCGGCCACGGGCAACGAGCGGUAGGCAAGUCGCACCGGUAAAUCACUCCGUAUUUCCUGGUGAAAAUGAGAAAU